rnacentral:lncRNA from 1 species
CUGACACUUAACCAAAAGUGUCCGUUGUUGAGGCACAGUCACUACACACAUCUCUUCUCUGAAGAUUAAGUAGAGUACAUAAUGUACCACUUAGGUAUGGGCUUGUCAUUAAGAAUUACAACACAUCACACAUCAUUAAGAAUAAUGAUCCAACUACCUAUUCAGAAGCUGUCAUGAGUAGUAACUCUGACAAAUGACUUGAAGCCAUGAAAUCUAAAAUGGACUCCAUAUAUACUAAUCA